rnacentral:tRNA from 1 species
GGAGAGGUGGCAGAGUGGUCGAAUGCGGCAGACUCGAAAUCUGUUGUUGGAUUUACUUUCAACCGAGGGUUCGAAUCCCUCCCUCUCCGCCA